GAAAGACUUGAUUUACGCUCUUAGGUAUUUCAUUUUAUGCACUUAAAAGCAUUAUUUUGAGAAGAGGUUCCUAGAUUUCCCCAGACUGCCAGAAGGGCCCAUAAAACACCCAAAAAAGUGUUCUUUUUUCUGUUCUAGGGGCCCCUCAGAGUAAAGGUGGGAAGUCAAGGUACUGUCGUGCAUACCUGAGUUCCCAGAAAAGCCAAACUCCAAGGAGCAGGGGAGGAAGAAAUUGGAGGUGGAGAUGGCACUGAAGAGGACAAAGAUGGGAAAAUCAGCCAGAUUGGACUUUGUGGAGGUUAGUGCUGAAAAUAAUACAAUUGUGAAGAAAUUGAGAGACAUUCAGAUAGAAGAUGUCGAAAGGAAGGAAAGAUGUCAAUGUUGUGGAAAAGAUAUCAGACCUUAUUAAAACCCCUAAAAGGGGACUGACAGUACCAAUAAAUACCCACAUUUAUGCUUC